rnacentral:misc_RNA from 1 species
AUUAUUAUAUAAAAAAAAAAAGAGAUUAUUCAACGAAUAAUCCUCAUAUGCAAUGUAGUGCCUGUAAUGCAUGACAAAAAGCAACCAACCUGAAAAUUAACACAAGGAUGAAAUUGUAAAACACAUAACAUAAUAUCAAAACCAAUAUGUCCCAAGACAUCUUUAAGAAAUUAAGAAACCUUCUUAAACACUACAAAACCUAACUUCACCUAACAGCACGAAUACAGUAAACACCAUCAAAUAAUAUCCAACACCACAUCAACUUUGUGGCGAUGUUUUUGCAACUCCACCCUGUUGUACAGGCUGUGAUGCAGCCGAUGCAGUAUCAUAAGUUGCACGAGUAUUAUUGCCAGUAUUGCCAUCAGUAGAAUACGAAGCAGGCUGAGAAUAACCACCACCAUAAGAAGUGUUGUAAGGCGGCAUCCCCUGCCCAUAACCGGAUUGACCAGCUGGUGCUGAACCAUAAGGUGGACCAUACCCAGGUUGAGAACCUGAUGCACCAAACCCAGAUGGUGGUGGACGUUGUGGACCUGAAUCUGAUUGGGUAUAGCCAGAUGGUGGUGGCUGAGAAGGUGGAUAUCCAGGCUGCACAGGGGUAGCCUGGCCAUAACCUCCAGGGGUGCUGGGUGAUUGUUGUGUCUGUCCAUAAACAGGGGGAUUGGCUGGAGGUUUCUGUGCUUGAGGAGGUCCAUAGUUGGACCCAUAUCCAGGUUGGGCUGGUGGUUGACUCCCAUAACCAGUUUGGGAAUUGGGGGUCAUUCCAUAUCCUGGCUGGAUGGAUCCUUGAGGUGUAUAACUUGAUGGAUUUGGGCUAGGCUGUUGUCCAGUAGUAUAACCUUGCUGACCUAUUGCAGCGGGCUGACUUGGUGCUUGGGCCGAGUCUCCUUGGGCUCCAUAAGAGGAAGCAUGUCCUUCUUGACUAGCAUUGGCCACAUUACCAUAACUGGGAGCAGAGGUAUAACCUUGUUGAUCAUAUGGUGGUGGUUGACCAUAACCUGAUUGAGGAUACCCACCAUAGCCAUCCUGAACAUAACCUUGUCCUUGCUGAUUAUAACCAGAAGCUGGUGGCUGACUGUAAUUAUAGCUCGUAUUAUCUGCUGGAGCUGCAGGACCACCAGGGGUUGGUUGAGAAGAAGCUGGCUGAUUAUAGUAAUCAUAACCCUGACCUGUCUGCUGAUUGACAGAUACAUUUGACUGAUCCCAGUUGGUGGGAUAUCCACCAGAUGAUGGUUGGGGUGGAUAUCCCGCGUAAGGUGGCUGAGACAUAUUAUACUGAGACGAUGGGCCAGGAUAAGCUCCAGGCUGCAUGUAGCCAUAACCAGGUUGCUGCAUUGGAGGAGCUCCAGGUGGGCCCCAGCUUGUAGGUGGUCGUGUUUGAUAUCCUUGCUGCGGGUAACCUCCAGCCAUUGAUUGAUUCCUUGCACGAUUCUGCAUAAAAUCAUUUUUGCCCCAAAUAAACCAAGCGAGCUUUGCACAAGUGCCAGCAUAUAGACAUAUUGUGUGACACAAUAUAUGUAUACAUAUAAACAAUUAAGAAAACUAAAAACAAGCACAUCUAGAAAUCAGCAUAAAACAACAGGCAAGCAUGUCCAAUGUAGGGAUUAAUGGAUUUCAUAUUUUAUCAGGAAGGGGUAUGAAUGCCUACAUACCGUACUUGGUUGAUGGAAUUAUUGAGUUACUCCUGCAGAAGCCCAUCCUCUCCCUACUUGAAGUGAAUGGGUACAAAAAGAAUCCAAAAAAAAAUAUACUAUACAAGCUUUACCACAAAAGUAAAGAUAAAUACACAGAUCUCACUGCCACAAUCAGGCAAUGAGUUCAUAUUCAUAUUAAGUGCAUGCUGCUAUGAUAUAGUACCUAUUUGAUGCACUGUAACUAACGGAAGCAACAAUACAAUAAGGGCAUUAACAAGUAAUUAUAUCCAUUAAUUUUAACAAAACCUAACAAAUUUAUGUGCACAUGCAAUACAGUAUCAGAAUUUACCAUACAACAAACAGCUGUGCGCAAAAAGUAAGUACACAAAAAUAGUUUAAACCAAUUUAAACUUAAGGGAUAAACAUUUGUAUACAAAAAGAAGGCAUACAUUACAUACCCAAAAAUACCAUGUGAUAGAUGAAAAACAACUAGUCAACUUCACCACACAAGCCUUUAGCAAUUGUGAGAAUAUUUCAUAAAUAUGGAAAACCAAAUGAGAGUGCAUUACGAUCUUUCAAAAUGAACACAACAACAAAACAAAAUAGAGACACCACAAAUGCCAGAGUAGCAGAAAGCAAUACAAUAGAUCAACAUGACCUCAAAGGCUUGGAGAUUGUGUGAAAGAAAGGAAUCCAGAAAAACAAGCCAAGCAAUGUUGCCAGAGAAUGCAACCAAUAAUUACUAUCGGAGACUAACACAAGUAAAUUAUAACUAGAAUUAAAACACUAAUAAAUAUUCAAAAUGAACUAUAGAAGCUUCAUAUUAUAAGAAGAAAGCAAAUGAAAAUGUUCCUAAAAGUUGAGUCAAAUUAAAACCACCAAAAUCAGUUGUAGUAUAUAAGAUGACGCAACAGUUAUCAUCAUUAAGGCACUCAGUAGCAAAACUAAGGGGCACUCCUAACAACAGAAAUUAUCCCAAAGGCUUGUGGCCCAAAAACUAAUCCAAUCUCAUGAGAUUGUACUCCUCAUAAGUAAAGUCGCUUCUCUGCAGAAUAUAAUUCACUAUACAUCAAAAAAUGGGAUUUAGAGCCAUACCAGAGCAAUGCCGAGGAAACACCAACACAAAGGAAUGCAUGUUGGUGUCACCAAAAGUCCAAUAACACUAACCCUACAAUAGUUCCCAAUAACAACAUCAGUCACAUGACACGAUCAAUAAGCACAGAUGGUGGUAGAACAGACUAUAAUCCAAAAACUAUUCACCUGGGAAUACAAACCAAGAACUACGGAAAUAUUGGGCUAAAACAAUAAAAAAAUUAUAACAAUGGCCUUAUGAGCUAAACAUAUAAAGAAUACACUUGCCCGGCGAGCGAAGGAUCCAAGAUAUCAACAUAUCACUAACAACCAUAUAACAGAAGUAAUCACUCUCAAUAAAAUAUUAGCACUUUGAACUUUAAUUUCAUCUGUCUUGCAAUUAACCCACAUACCCACCAACCUCAAACAUAUGUUGGCAGACACUAUGAAUAUAGACCGAAGAAAUUGUUGCAGUUGGCAAGACAUAGACAAUAAAGACUUACACACAUUGUCACUCACAACUUGAUCUCAGAAAUUCAGAUAUAUAUCAAGCAAUGCACAUUACCAUGCUAACCAGCUCCUAAUAUAAGACUAUAAGCCAGCAAAUUUUAAUAAAUAGGCCAGGAGUCAGUCUCUCUUCCCCUCUUCCAGACGUCAGUUUGACAAAAGGGCAAAAAUUCUUAACCAGCUAAAGCUGUAAAUGCCAGGAGGAUCAGCAACCAGAAGAUAUCUGCAACUUUCUCAAUCUAAAUAGUCCACAAGGGAAGAAUAUAAAUUGAUACAUCUAACACAUUUGUUGAUAACCAAAAAGUUGCCUCAGGAAAUUAUGGUUUGGAAAAAGACCCAAUUAUAUUCACAGUAAUGACAUAUCUUGAAACAUAUCACACAGACAAGAAAAGAAAUUAGGCGAAAUAUAAAGAGAAUAGUAAAAUCAAUUUCUAUUUCCAUGCUAAGGAGUACGAUGAUGAAUAUUCAAAACUAAGACAGCUCAAUAACAAGAAGACAAGCCAGAACCAUAAAGCAACUAAAAUGACAAACUAAACAACUUAAGACAAAGAUAGAAGCUCUAUUGAAAUAUUUAAGAAAUGAAAGGAAGAAUUAAAUAAGGUAAGCAGAUGAAGGGAGAGGCGCGGGGGGGGUGGGGUUGGGAUUUGGGGAGAUGACUCAAAUGACAAACAAACUAAAUAGAUUAAGACAAAGAUAGAAGCUCUAU